rnacentral:rRNA from 1 species
UAGGGAAUAUUGCGCAAUGGAGGAAACUCUGACGCAGCGACGCCGCGUGGGUGAUGAAGGUCUUCGGAUCGUAAAGCCCUGUCGGAAGAGACGAAAAAUACGAUGGCUAACAUCCAUAGUACUUGACGGUAUCUUUAGAGGAAGCACCGGCUAACUUCGUGCCAGCAGCCGCGGUAAUACGAAGGGUGCAAGCGUUGUUCGGAAUCAUUGGGCGUAAAGCGCGUGUAGGCUGUUUAUUAAGUCGGGUGUGAAAUCCCUGGGCUCAACCGAGGAAGUGCAUUCGAAACUGAUAAGCUAGAAGACAGUAGAGGAAGGUGGAAUUCCAAGUGUAGAGGUGAAAUUCGUAGAUAUUUGGAGGAAUACCUGAGGCGAAGGCGGCCUUCUGGGCUGUUCUUGACGC